AUGAAUGCGCCAGAGCAUCUGUACCUAGCCCUAUUCAUGCUGGGAAGGGGUGUCCAAGUAUGUGUCUCUGAGUCAUACAUCUCUGCAGAGCUCAGUACAUUACCAGAAGAAUCAGCGCCUCCCACGACAUACGCCUUUUCACCGACACUUGCUGACCCAAACCAGAACCGCGGGGUGUUCAUCGCAUCAGCAUCAGCCAGCCCUGUCCAUGAAUUGGUAAGGAUGCUAUAUCUCAAGGCAACCUUUCCGCGGUCCCCAAACACCAGCAGCUCGGUUCCUACAGCGAGCGACUCCCGGAUGGAGGAGCUUUCAGCCGGUGGCAUCUUGGGCACAUGGAUCCAGCACCCAGUGGAUGGGUCAUAA
rnacentral:rRNA from 1 species